rnacentral:rRNA from 1 species
GACGAACGCUGGCGGCGUGCUUAACACAUGCAAGUCGAACGGUAAGGCCCUUCGGGGUACACGAGUGGCGAACGGGUGAGUAACACGUGGGUGAUCUGCCCUGCACUUCGGGAUAAGCCUGGGAAACUGGGUCUAAUACCGGAUAGGACCACUGCCUGCAUGGGUGGUGGUGGAAAGCUUUUGCGGUGUGGGAUGGGCCCGCGGCCUAUCAGCUUGUUGGUGGGGUGAUGGCCUACCAAGGCGACGACGGGUAGCCGGCCGGAGAGGGUGACCGGCCACUGUGGGAGUGAGAUACGGCCCAGACUACUACGUGAGGCAGCAGGGGGGAAUAUUGCACAAUGGGCGCAAGCCUGAUGCAGCGACGCCUCGUGAGGGAUGACGGCCUUCGGGUUGUAAACCUCUUUCAGCACCGACGAAGCGCAAGUGACGGUAGGUGCAGAAGAAGGACCGGCCAACUACGUGCCAGCCGCCGCCGUAA